AAAACGACUCUCGGCAACGGAUAUCUCGGCUCUCGCAUCGAUGAAGAACGUAGCGAAAUGCGAUACCUGGUGUGAAUUGCAGAAUCCCGUGAACCAUCGAGUCUUUGAACGCAAGUUGCGCCCGAAGCCUUCUGGCCGAGGGCACGCCUGCCUGGGUGUCAUGC
rnacentral:rRNA from 7 species